rnacentral:rRNA from 1 species
UAAUUGAAGAGUUUGAUCAUGGNUUGAACGCUGGCGGCAGGCCUAACACAUGCAAGUCGAGCGGUAACAGAAAGUAGCUUGCUACUUUGCUGACGAGCGGCGGACGGGUGAGUAAUGCUUGGGAACAUGCCUUGAGGUGGGGGACAACAGUUGGAAACGACUGCUAAUACCGCAUAAUGUCUACGGACCAAAGGGGGCUUCGGCUCUCGCCUUUAGAUUGGCCCAAGUGGGAUUAGCUAGUUGGUGAGGUAAUGGCUCACCAAGGCGACGAUCCCUAGCUGGUUUGAGAGGAUGAUCAGCCACACUGGGACUGAGACACGGCCCAGACUCCUACGGGAGGCAGCAGUGGGGAAUAUUGCACAAUGGGCGCAAGCCUGAUGCAGCCAUGCCGCGUGUGUGAAGAAGGCCUUCGGGUUGUAAAGCACUUUCAGUCAGGAGGAAAGGUUAACGGUUAAUACCCGUUAG